AGCGAACGCUGGCGGCAGGCUUAACACAUGCAAGUCGAACGGGCACUUCGGUGCUAGUGGCAGACGGGUGAGUAACGCGUGGGAACGUACCUUUCGGUUCGGAAUAAUUCAGGGAAACUUGGACUAAUACCGGAUACGCCCUUCGGGGGAAAGAUUUAUCGCCGAUAGAUCGGCCCGCGUCUGAUUAGCUAGUUGGUGAGGUAAUGGCUCACCAAGGCGACGAUCAGUAGCUGGUCUGAGAGGAUGAUCAGCCACAUUGGGACUGAGACACGGCCCAAACUCCUACGGGAGGCAGCAGUGGGGAAUAUUGGACAAUGGGCGCAAGCCUGAUCCAGCCAUGCCGCGUGAGUGAUGAAGGCCUUAGGGUUGUAAAGCUCUUUUGUCCGGGAAGAUAAUGACUGUACCGGAAGAAUAAGCCCCGGCUAACUUCGUGCCAGCCGCCGCCGUAA
rnacentral:rRNA from 1 species